GACGGAGCAACCCCGCGUGAGUAUGAAGGUUUCGGAUCGUAAAGCUCUGUUGUUAGGAAGAACAAGUGCGAGAGUAACUGCUCGCACCUUGACGGUACCUAACCAGAAAGCCACGGCUAACUACGUGCCAGCAGCCGCGGUAAUACGUAGGUGGCAAGCGUUGUCCGGAAUUAUUGGGCGUAAAGGGCUCGCAGGCGGUUUCUUAAGUCUGAUGUGAAAGCCCCCGGCUCAACCGGGGAGGGUCAUUGGAAACUGGGAAACUUGAGUGCAGAAGAGGAGAGUGGAAUUCCACGUGUAGCGGUGAAAUGCGUAGAGAUGUGGAGGAACACCAGUGGCGAAGGCGACUCUCUGGUCUGUAACUGACGCUGAGGAGCGAAAGCGUGGGGAGCGAACAGGAUUAGAUACCCUGGUAGUCCACGCCGUAAACGAUGAGUGCUAAGUGUUAGGGGGUUUCCGCCCCUUAGUGCUGCAGCUAACGCAUUAAGCACUCCGCCUGGGGAGUACGGUCGCAAGACUGAAACUCAAAGGAAUUGACGGGGGCCCGCACAAGCGGUGGAGCAUGUGGUUUAAUUCGAAGCAACGCGAAGAACCUUACCAGGUCUUGACAUCCUCUGACAACCCUAGAGAUAGGGCUUUCCCUUCGGGGACAGAGUGACAGGUGGUGCAUGGUUGUCGUCAGCUCGUGUCGUGAGAUGUUGGGUUAAGUCCCGCAACGAGCGCAACCCUUGAUCUUAGUUGCCAGCAUUCAGUUGGGCACUCUAAGGUGACUGCCGGUGACAAACCGGAGGAAGGUGGGGAUGACGUCAAAUCAUCAUGCCCCUUAUGACCUGGGCUACACACGUGCUACAAUGGACAGAACAAAGGGCUGCAAGACCGCAAGGUUUAGCCAAUCCCAUAAAUCUGUUCUCAGUUCGGAUCGCAGUCUGCAACUCGACUGCGUGAAGCUGGAAUCGCUAGUAAUCGCGGAUCAGCAUGCCGCGGUGAAUACGUUCCCGGGCCUUGUACACACCGCCCGUCACACCACGAGAGUUUGCAACACCCGAAGUCGGUGAGGUAACCUUUAUGGAGCCAGCCGCCGAAGGAGAACUAGAGGAGU
rnacentral:rRNA from 1 species